rnacentral:rRNA from 1 species
CGCUGGCGGCAGGCCUAAUACAUGCAAGUCGAGCGCUCUAGCAAUAGGGAGCGGCGCACGGGUGCGUAACGCGUGGGAAUAUGCCUCUAGGGUGCGGAAACAAACCAAGGGAAACUUUGGCUAAUACCGUAUAAUAUCUUCGGAUCAAAGAUUUAUCGCCUAGAGAUUAGCCCGCGUCUGAUUAGCUAGUUGGUGAGGUAAAGGCUCACCAAGGCGACGAUCAGUAGCUGGUCUGAGAGGAUGAUCAGCCACACUGGAACUGAGACACGGUCCAGACUCCUACGGGAGGCAGCAGUAAGGAAUAUUGGACAAUGGGGGAAACCCUGAUCCAGCCAUGCCGCGUGAGUGACGAAGGCCUUAGGGUUGUAAAGCUCUUUUGGCGGGAAGAUAAUGACUGUACCCGCAGAAUAAGCCCCGGCUAAAUUCGUG